CUCUACUAAAGAUACAAAAAGUUAGCUGAGUGUGGUAGUGUGCGCCUGUAAUCCCAGCUAGUUGGGAGGCUGAGACUAGAAAAUUGCUUGAACCCGGGAGGUGUAGUGCAAAUAACACUGCACUCUAGCCUGGGUGACAGAGCAAGACUCCAUCUCAAAAAAAGGAAAAAAGAAACCAUUGGGAUCUCUAAGAGUGUUUUCUCUCUUGGGUCCAGUUGUUUCAGAGGAGAAAGGGCAUCAUGAGUGACCAGGGUCCAAGUUAUCAUUCUAUUUUUCAGUAGGACUGGAAUUUUGGCAACACAGAACCCUGUGAUGUCUGGAGGAAACCAGUUCCUCAAAGCUCACUGCCUUUCCUCUAUUCCCAGCUCCGCUCUGCAUUGGACAAAACAGAAGAGCUCGAGAGGAUAUGUACCACUGCCCACUUGGGGGCAGACAAGUUACAGGAGGCUGGGGUCCAACACUGGCAAGAAGGAAACCACGGGUCAGGACAGAAAUUUUAUGAGGUAGAUGCUGUUAUGAAAUCCACAUUACAGAUGAGGGAACCAGGGCCCAGGAAGGUUCACUGGCCAGAAGUCUCAGCUGGUAAGUACGGGGCUGCAAGGCAUCAAUUCCCAGCCGUCUCACUGCCCUGAGAGGAUGGCGUUUUUGCUGGGCGUGGUGGCUCACGCCUGUAAUCCCAGCAAUUUGGGAGGCUGAGGCAGGCAGUUGGGACUUGAGGUUUUUUUUCAUGUGUCUUGCUGAAGAUUAAGGGGAAAUGUUACAGUGUUGGGACUUCCUGUCAUGGCAGAAUCUACAAUUUGAGCGACUUCAGUAGUAUCUCUUAGUCUAU
rnacentral:lncRNA from 1 species